UAGCAUCCGUUAGUGGGCUACAAUUUAUAGCGUUAUUUUAUAGUGUCUGAAUUGCACCCGAAAUGUUAUGAUGAUGGUUGAUGGCUGAGGUGUCUGUAACAAUUUUCGUGUAGAUUCCUUUUUCCCGGCGGUACUCCUGAAGAGUGGUUGCAUGCUUUGAGUGCUCCAAACGGUGCUGACACCAGCCUGUCUUGAACCAUUCUGUGUGUGUUGUAAAGAUGUUAAACGUGCUCAAGAGCAAAAAGCGAAAAGCUUUCUACCCGCUAUGGCUUCACGAGCGAACGGACGAAAGCUUGGCGCUAAUUGGACAAGUCAUUACACAAGAGGAUCUAUGAUCUAAGCAUCUGGUCUGGCACAAGUCACCACGCCGGUACAGUUUUUGGAGCAUAGAAAAGUACAAUUCUCCCAAAUUAAUACCCCCCUUUAGAACAGAACACCCAUCACAAAACGGAAUGUUGCUGUGACCUAGGCCGGGGAGAGGGUAGGUUGAUAAGAAGCACGUCGAUUGCUUAUCACGAGUGAAAGCAAUGCUCGGUUCAGUCAGUAGUAACCCAUCACCAUGAACAGAUCAGUGGUGUUUCUUUACUUUGCAUUGUUUGCCAUUGUCCCGUUUGCUGCGGGAUUAUGCAAUGUCGGCUUGGGGAAGCGCGUUUUCGGGGACGUGCUGCUCGAAACAUUGAGCUUCAAAAACUCAUCAACCACCGAACCGAAACAGUUAUCACUGGUGAUCAGCUACCAGCCUAAUGCGCAUCUUGGCGAACAGAUAACCUACAGCAAGACGCAGGGAUCUGUUGAGUGUACUCUUGUAAUUCCACAGGCAAAAAACAAGAAAGGACUGUUUCUGACCAUGACAAGCCAAAACAAUGUUACGGAACUGUCGGCAACGUUGGAAAUCUACGGAUUCCGCCAAGGGAAGGCUGUGAGAGUUAAUUGAGCGUCGCGAACUACCUCCAGCACUUAAGAUUUCCAUCCACUGUCAAGUAAUGUGUGAACGUUGUGAAAGUAAAAGAGCCUUUAACAUGCUUAAGAAAUUAAAAAUGGUGAUUCUUUUA